UAGCCUCGAGGCUCAUGCCCCACCAGUAGUAGUCCCCCAGAAACAGAUUGUCGCUAUUGAUGCCUAACACAGCGUCGGAAUAUCAUAGCCGGAAAUUAAAUUGUCCGUAAUAUUUGCACAUGCAACCGGACAAUGCGUACGCGCAAGAAACUUCACAAAGAAUAUGAUUCUACGUAGUUGCAGAACAAAGACAUCUGAGAGAUUUGCUUGCUAAUUAAUAAUAUUUAUCUAGAAUCCGAGGAAAGCUACCCGAAUAGUACUGGUGGACUAAUACACAGAGUUGUUCGCUGGAACAAAAUCGUAUCUGCCAUACUUCAGUAAACACCUCGUUUAUCAAAUGAUCUAGCGGAGUGAAAUCAAGCUGGUUAUCACUGAAGAAGCUAUUUAUCAUCUUCACGAACAGCCAACAUUGAUACCGUAAUAUACACUGAAUUUGGUAGUCGAUGAUCAAACGAGUACUACAGAGCCUCGACCUUAAUCGAUCGCAUCGUUAACGGAUCGCGUCAGAGUUUCUUCACAUUCCUUCAGUUUGCAUCGACCGACUGAGCUAGACGUUUUGGUCGUACAGUAUUAUAUACAAACAUUUCCUUUGUUAUUAGCGUACAUGCUGCGAUAAAAAAAAACUGAAAACUCUGUGUACCUGCGUUGUCCACAGAAAGAUUGGAAUGGAUAAUGAAAUUAGUGUAAUAAAUAUGGUAAUAAUCUUAAUACUAAUAGCAAUGAAAGUAGAGAAUGCAGGCUCACAUCAACCUAUCCAUGAUCAGUUGGUGAAUUAGGUAGGACACGCGUAAACAUACUGAUAAUUAGUGUUGAUCCGCCCAGAUGAUGUAACGAUAUUUUCCGAAAAAACUCAUACUAAUGAAAUCGCAGCAUAUGCAGCUGAUGACUGCGCUGUUAAACAGAAACGUAAUACAGAAAAGUUGGGCUAAUUUAGAGCCUUCCUUCCUUAAUAAAUAAUACUGUAAUAGUGGAAAAGUCAUCCAUCCAGAGAGUACUGCAGAAUAUCCAGACUAGUGUUGUUAUUGAUUUAGCGUUACGUGUAUUGAAUGUUAAUAUCUAAGCCUCUACCAAUUGAAGUAUUCUGCAAUUGAUCUAAGUAGGUGGAAUCGUCUCACUUUCUUAAUUACGGUAGUGCGAUUUUAAACUACUCGAAAGUUCAUGUUUAACGCUAGGCAUUUAUGUGCUAGAUCGUAACUAAAAUUCUCGAAUCGUUUUUAGCUCUUACAAAAAAGCAGCCGGUGUCUGCAUAUGAAAAUAUUCUACAUAAAUGGCUUAGGAAAUUCGUAAAUGGGCAAUAAAAAAAUCCGGAAGUUUGAAAAUGAUUAGACGGACAUUUGCGUUUAAAGUCGAAUUGUUCGAUACGAUGAGUAUACAUUUGUAGCGGGUUCGUGGACCGUAUUUCGCCUCAAUAUACGACACCUUCAGUUGUCUCGUUUAUAUACUUUAUUAUAUAAGUAUAUAAACGCACUAUUAUAUGUGCCAGUGAAGAAGCAGUUACUGUGUGAGCAACGUCGAUUAUGUGAUCGACAAGCUACUGUGGCUUGCGUCUAUUUUAUUCGUACCUUAGUGCAUAUUAGCUAUGGGCUGCUUAUCGACAUUGUUCUAAUGAGCUUUUCAGGAUGACUUUAGUGGAGGCGGAGUGAAAAAACGAUCAAUAAAUAUCAGGAAACUCAUUUGAAACGUUUUUCUAGAAAGAAAAAAAAAACACUUAUUUGUAAUAAUAGCAGUUACACUAAUUAAAAGCAGUACUUAGAGUAUGUGAAUAAAAAUGUUUUAGAACUACUGAAUGAGUCCACUCCGUAUAAUUUUGUCAUAAAACUUCAAUCAAAUUGAAAAAUAUUGACCCAAAACUGCUUCCUUGGCUGCAAAAUCACACCUCUUUGCGAUGUGUCUCUUAGCAUCUCUAGCUGAUACCUAACGUGUAUCCUCAUAGGUCUCAAACACGUUUACAAUAUAAUACCUACACGAUUGAUAGCCUACAGAUGUUAAAUUAUAAUUAUUGAUUCACAAUUCGUGUAUUGUUAACAAAAGGAACCUCUGUCGCUGCGAAAUGCAUAGUUUAUAUCAAAUGAUGUGAAAAAAUGUUUAACUAAUUUUGAAUUUAAUUUUCAGUUUGAUCGUACAGUAUAAGCGAGCGGGAUGUGCUUCUGGUGUUUGCGAGUAUUUUUUGGAGUCUGGUUUUCAUCCAGUUUCUAAUAAUAAGUACGAGAAGCAUUUCGAGAUUGCAUUCUUACGAACGUUGAUGAUCGUUGGUUUAUAGGUGUAUGUUAACACGUGAUCUGAAAACAGCAAUUUUAGAUUAAUCAAAAAUAUAUAUGCGCAAGCAGUAUUAUCGCUGCACAUGUUUUUUGUGCAGUCUUCGCAUAACCGGUUUCGGCCGAACUUAACAAGAUGGCGGGUCUAUUUGGCUUUUAUAAGAAGCGGAGCAUUUUCAUUGCUAUCAGGUGGAUGGCCCAGUUGCGCACAAUCAACGUCUGGUAUCCGAUUAUCCUGAUUAGAUAACUGCCGAUGAUAAGGGCACGUAAUAAGAUCUAGCAUGGGUGUGAGCGAAUCAUACGUACAUAUUUCAGUCACUUGUCUUUGGGGGAACGUGAAGGACAAUAAAUAUCGGUAUAGUUUUAAAACGUGAUAUUGUAUUUAUGAUUUUAACAUUUUAUUUUUACGAAAAAUUUUUAUAGAUUUUAGAAUAUUACGAGCUGCAUGGUGAAACCGCGUAUCACAGAACUAACCUUUGCUUUAUGUUUCGUCGUGCUCUUACAAUCAUGGUUUGUUUGAUGUUCAUAUCGAUUUAUGAAAAAAAAAAAAACUAA